ACUCCCUCAUUAGAAACGGUAGAUUCACAUAUCUCAUUCCAAAACUUCCCCAAGACUCUUCCUCUCCCCUUGAACCCUAACGCACGCGGCAAAACUCAUGACGGCAAACCUCACGGCGGCAACCCUUACUUCUCACCUAAGCGGCGGCAACCCUCUUCUCACCUAAGCGGCGGCUACAAUUGAGCCUUCUCAUCUCCUCUCAAAUCCUAAUACCAGCUCUGAUGGUGACGAUGGCGAAAUCGCCACAAGCAAACGACGGCUAUAGCAGUGGAAAACCACCACAGAUCCAGGAACCUAAAGCCAAAAUCUCCCUUCACAAGAAACUAAGACGACAUCGACCUUUGGUUUAGCGAACACAAGGCAUUGGAUUUAUGGUUCUGGUCACAAUUAGGGGUGCAAACGAGCCGAGUCGAGCCCGAGCUCGACCAGGCUCG